GAAAUGCGAUAAGUAAUGUGAAUUGCAGAAUUCCGUGAAUCAUCGAAUCUUUGAACGCACAUUGCGCCCUCUGGUAUUCCGGGGGGCAUGCCUGUCCGAGCGUCAUUGCGAACCCCUCAAGCACGGCUUGUGUGAUGGGCCCUCCCGCGUCUUGGUCGUCAAGACGGGCCCGAAAAGCAGUGGCGGCUUCGCGGUUAUCCGAUCAGCCAGAGCGUAUGGGGACUUUCUCUCUGUCACACGCCCGCGUCGCGGACCGACGCCUGUCGACCUUUAUUCAUCUUUUUCUCGGUUGACCUCGGAUCAGGUAGGGAUACCCGCUAAACUUAAGC
rnacentral:misc_RNA from 1 species